rnacentral:lncRNA from 1 species
AUCGGUGUCGGGCAGCGACGGGAAAGCGGUGCGGCUGAAUGGCGCCGGGCCCAGGCCGAAGCGCGGCGGCCCGUGGUGCGGCGCGAAGAGGCCCAGCCAGUCCGCCGAGCGGUCGGCCGCAUCCAGCACUCCGCCGGAGAAGACGUGCGCGCCCGGCAUGAAGCCUUGGUGCGGGGAGCGCUGCAGCAGCAGCAGCCGGAAGCCCUCGGCCGGCGGCGGGCGCGACGGCGGGGUGGCGGUCUCCGGGCGCGACCAGCCAGCCGCCAGGACGAUGCUGGCCGCCCGCCGCCAGCGGCUGGGGCCCGGCCGCAGGGAGCUGCUCAUGGCGCGCAGCUUCCCGGAUCCGAUUCUGGCGCGGCCUGAGCUCCACGGCAGGUGGCCCGGCCCUGCAGGGACCCCAGCACCUCCGGGGGCCUCGCGGGAAUUGAGGACGAGCCUCUGGCGUUGGGUGAACCUGGGCGUUUGGUCGGCAACGGCGCCUGCCUGUGGGAGGGGCACCCGAGCAGGGACCGCCUCGAGUGCACUGGGGCCCAGCUAGGGCACUCUCGCGGGACAAUGGGUGUCACGGCAGCCAGCGACCGUUUGUCAUUCACAGCUGCCUGAAAGGAGGACCGCAGUAUUCCCACGCAGGAAGCUUGGACCAAAAGCAGGAAUGCUUAAGGGCGCAUAUGACUUGCCAUGGUAAAAAACAGGAUGCCAACCCAGGCCUGAUGACAUCCACCUCACUAAAAGCUAAGGACUAGGACUUUCUGCUUUAAACAAGGACCCACAUGUGGGUGUUUUCUGUGGGAGAGGGAGAGAGGACAUUCGAAGGGCAGAAGUCUGACCUUUGCAAGCACACGUGAACCACACCAAUGAGAAAUGAAUGGACGAGCCAGAUGCCAAUUUAUAAAUUUCCUACUGCACACCUUGAAUGUGAAAGUACAUGUGGCCGACAAAGAGAAGGGAAGAUGGAGCCGCCAUCUUCAACAGGAGUGGCACAACUGUCGGAUCUAUGUCUGCAGCUGGAUUUUACAGGCUGCUCUUCGUUAGAAAGGAAAACUUUACGGAGGACUUCCAUGCCUUCACUAUCUGCCUAAGUAAAUUCUUCUUAACUCCUGUACCAGUCUCAGCCUCAUUUUGUCCAGCCCCUAUACAAGAUGGAGUUGCUCUGGUUCAAACGCCUGACACAAACUUGCUCCAAAAUAAACAUGGGUGAUGUAUGUUACCUGUAUGUUUACCCAUUGCACAUGUGGUCAACCCCCUCAUAAAUAUGUACAGCUUUCCCCCAAAACCUGCUGAAUAUGACUUUCUUGUGUAAUACAGACCCUGGGAUGCAUAAAACCCAACCUGC